rnacentral:sRNA from 1 species
GACCAAAUGAAAUUGAUAAUGUGAUAUC